UACGAAGGGGGCUAGCGUUGCUCGGAAUCACUGGGCGUAAAGGGUGCGUAGGCGGGUCUUUAAGUCAGGGGUGAAAUCCUGGAGCUCAACUCCAGAACUGCCUUUGAUACUGAAGAUCUUGAGUUCGGGAGAGGUGAGUGGAACUGCGAGUGUAGAGGUGAAAUUCGUAGAUAUUCGCAAGAACACCAGUGGCGAAGGCGGCUCACUGGCCCGAUACUGACGCUGAGACGCGAAAGUGCGGGGAUCAAACAGG
rnacentral:rRNA from 1 species